rnacentral:tRNA from 1 species
GAAAGAGGCCUGCCAGCAACAAUGACUGCUAAUCCUUGUACCCUCGGUUGAAUUCCGGAGCUCUUUUA